AUAAAGUGAAUCAGUUAAUGCACAUCGCUCAUCACUUUUCAGACCAAGGUAUUCAGAAAAGCUGCAUCCAGCUGUCUCGUAAUUGAGCCUAACUCUCCAGCUACCACCGCCGUUCACCCUCCGCUCCCACUCCACACCCGAAGACGAGAUCCAACUCCACCGCCAAGAGAGAGUCUCCACACUUCAUCCAUCCCA